rnacentral:tRNA from 1 species
AUCCAGUGUGGUGUAGUGGUUUGAGCUUUGGACUAUGAAUCUGGAGAUCAGGGUUCAAUCCCUUGCUUGGCUA